rnacentral:tRNA from 1 species
UAAAAUAAGCUAAUCCAAGCUGAUGGGUUCAUACCCCAUUGACACUCAAUUUAGGUUAUCUUAAAUUCUUUUUUGGGGGUUUUAU